GGAGAGAGAGAGAGAGAGAUAGAGAGAGGGAGAGAGAGAGAGAGAGAGAGCGAGGAGGGGGGGUUUGGAGCAAAAGGCUGGUCGUCUCAGGUACGGGGAGGAGAACGGAGGCUACAGCUAACACU